AUUUGUAACGCAAGCACGCGCCUCCCACGCAGUCGCGUACAGCUGAUCAACACGCGUCGUGCAAGUGCUAGCAAACGCAUCUGUGAUAGUGACAUGGUUCUGUGUAUACAUUGGAUUCACUAAUCGUAUCAUUAGAAAAGUUGUGUGUGUAGCGCAUGCUGCACGUGCGGUGAUGCGCCGCGAGCGCACGGGAUCGACACAUGCAUGCCGCCCGCGCACCCGGUGUGGUUGUGAUGACAUGGUGGUGGGCGAUCGCGCUGCUAGCGCUAGCGACGCCCGCCCUCCCCGCGCCCAGGGCGGGCAACGGUGAGCUAUUUUACAGUAAGCA
rnacentral:lncRNA from 1 species